rnacentral:rRNA from 1 species
AUGGCAACUUGAUUAUCUGACUUGAUUAGAGAUUAUUGCUUAGAAUUUAUUGGUAUCCAGGAAACAAUGAAGAAGGAUUUUUCCUCUAAGUUCUUGAGGAAAAUUGAUCCAGGAGAAUGUUUUUGUUGGACUUGGAUCCCCUUAGUGGGAAAAUCUGGGGGAAUUUUGUGUGGUGCUAAGAAGGAUACUUUUGAUAUUAGAUCUUGCAGGACAGGGAAAUAUAUUAUGAAACUUGAAUUGUGGGAUAGAAGUAAAAAAUUGAACUAUUGUAUUCUUGUAGUCUAUGGAUCUGCACAUGAGGAUCAUAAAGUGAAAUUUUUAACUGAGCUCUCUGACAUGUGUAACAUUAUUACAUGCCCUUAUAUUGUGGGAGGUGAUUUCAAUAUACUUAGAUAUGCUAGUGAGAAAAAUAAGAAAGCUAGAACAAGUCACUCCUCUGAUCUCUUUAACUCCAUCAUUAAUGCUUUUUGUCUAAGGGAAGUUGACAUGAAUGGCGGUCUCUACACUUGGUCUAAUAAUCAGCAAAACCCUACCCUUGAAAAGUUGGACAGAAUACUUAUGUCCAGUUCUUGGGAGAGCCAAUUUCGUUUGACUAUUGUUAGAAAACUGGUGUAA